rnacentral:rRNA from 1 species
GAUGAACGCUGGCGGCGUGCCUAACACAUGCAAGUCGAGCGAUUUACUUCGGUAAAGAGCGGCGGACGGGUGAGUAACGCGUGGGUAACCUGCCCUGUACACACGGAUAACAUACCGAAAGGUAUGCUAAUACGAGAUAAUAUACUUUUAUCGCAUGGUAGAAGUAUCAAAGCUCCGGCGGUACAGGAUGGACCCGCGCCUGAUGAGCUAGUCGGUAAGGUAACGGCUUACCAAGGCGACGAUCAGUAGCCGACCUGAGAGGGUGAUCGGCCACAUUGGAACUGAGACACGACCCAAACUCCUACGGGAGGCAGCAGUGGGGAAUAUUGCACAAUGGGCGAAAGCCUGAUGCAGCAACGCCGCGUGAGCGAUGAAGGCCUUCGGGUCGUAAAGCUCUGUCCUCAAGGAAGAUAAUGACGGUACUUGAGGAGGAAGCCCCGGCUAACUACGUGCCAGCCGCCGCGGUAACAC